AAAAUUAUAGUUAAAUGGCAUAAUAUUUCUUUUGCGUAAGAAAAGUUUUUAGUUCAAAUCUAAAUAAUUUUC
rnacentral:tRNA from 1 species